AGCUUUUAUCAGGUAUCAGCAAUUGUCUUUCAUUAGGGGGAAGAAUGAAGAAGAAUACUAAAAAUAGCAUACUUAUAAACUGAGAGUUUUGAGUGCUUGAACUUUUUCAUUUUACUUCAACCUCUAAGGAGGGCAGUCACUGGCGUGCCUACUUUACUUCUUUUAAGUGAUAGAACAGCAAACAGGCAAC
rnacentral:other from 1 species